UACGGAGGGGGCUAGCGUUGUUCGGAAUUACUGGGCGUAAAGCGCACGUAGGCGGCUUUGCAAGUUAGAGGUGAAAGCCCAGGGCUUAACCCUGGAAUUGCCUUUAAGACUGCAUCGCUAGAAUCGUGGAGAGGUGAGUGGAAAUUCCGAGUGUAGAGGUGAAAUUCGUAGAUAUUCGGAAGAACACCAGUGGCGAAAGGCGACUCA
rnacentral:rRNA from 1 species